rnacentral:rRNA from 1 species
GAUGAACGCUGGCGGCGUGCUUAACACAUGCAAGUCGAACGAAGCACUUUGAUUUCUUCGGAAAGAUGAGUGACUGAGUGGCGGACGGGUGAGUAACGCGUGGGUAACCUGCCUCAUACAGGGGGAUAACAGUUGGAAACGACUGCUAAUACCGCAUAAGCGCACAGUACCGCAUGGUACAGUGUGAAAAACUCCGGUGGUAUGAGAUGGACCCGCGUCUGAUUAGCUAGUUGGUGAGGUAACGGCCCACCAAGGCGACGAUCAGUAGCCGACCUGAGAGGGUGACCGGCCACAUUGGGACUGAGACACGGCCCAAACUCCUACGGGAGGCAGCAGUGGGGAAUAUUGCACAAUGGGCGAAAGCCUGAUGCAGCGACGCCGCGUGAGCGAAGAAGUAUUUCGGUAUGUAAAGCUCUAUCAGCAGGGAAGAUAAUGACGGUACCUGACUAAGAGGCCCCGGCUAACUACGUGCCAGCCGCCGCGGUAAUAC